rnacentral:rRNA from 1 species
UGGAGCCUACGGGACGCAGCAGUGGGGGAUAUUGCACAAUGGGGGGAACCCUGAUGCAGCGACGCCGCGUGGGUGAAGGAGCGGUUCGGCGCGUAAAGCCCUAUCGGCAGGGAAGAAGGAGGACGGUACCUGACUAAGAAGCCCCGGCUAACUACGUGCCAGCAGCCGCGGUAAUACGUAGGGGGCAAGCGUUAUCCGGAUUUACUGGGUGUAAAGAGGGCGCAGACGGCAGCGCAAGCCAGGAGUGAAAGCCCGGGGCCCAACCCCGGGACUGCUCUUGGGACUGCGCGGCUGGAGGGCAGGAG